rnacentral:lncRNA from 1 species
CACUACCAGCCAUCUGAAAAACAUGUGACUUCUAACUUCUGUUCUUUUUUGUAGCAGUGGAAUCCCACGGUGAUAUCUGAGGGAUGUGGUUACCUUUUGGAGGAGGUUGACGGUUUCUAAGGAUGAUUCUUUCUGAGUGAAAUAUUGUCAGUGUCAUUGACCUUUUCAUUAUUUCAACUAUUAUUAUUCCAGGUUAUCAAUACUCUGGCUGACCAUCAUCAUCGUGGGACUGACUUUGGUGGAAGUCCUUGGUUACAUGUCAUUAUUGCGUUUCCGACAAGUUAUAAAGUUGUCAUUACCCUCUGGAUAGUUUACCUUUGGGUGUCUCUCCUGAAGACUAUCUUCUGGUCUCGAAAUGGACAUGAUGGAUCCACGGAUGUACAGCAGAGAGCCUGGAGGAAAUAAAAUUGGCCUGAAAGACGUCAUUACUCUACGGAGACAUGUGGAAACAAAAGUUAGAGCUAAAAUCCGUAAGAGGAAGGUGACAACGAAAAUCAACCAUCAUGACAAAAUCAAUGGAAAGAGGAAGACCGCCAGAAAACAGAAAAUGUUUCAACGUGCGCAAGAGUUGCG